rnacentral:rRNA from 1 species
AACCCAAAUCAAUAAUAUCCGGCGUAAAGCGUGUUUAGGUAUAAAACCAAAAUAAAGUUAAACCAAAGCUAAGCUGUAAAAAGCCCUAGCACAGGUAAAAGACGCAACGAAAGUGACUUUAAAAUAUCCGACUACACGAUAGCUAAGACCCAAACUGGGAUUAGAUACCCCACUAUGCUUAGCCAUAAACCAAAACAUUUAAUUAACAAAAAUGUUCGCCAGAGUACUACUAGCAACAGCCUGAAACUCAAAGGACUUGGCGGUGCUUCAUAUCCACCUAGAGGAGCCUGUUCUGUAAUCGAUAUACCCCGAUAAACCUCACCACCCCUUGCCAAUA